GGGCUUCAGCUCAGGGGGCAGAACAUCGGCCUUGCAUGCAGCAUGUCCCAGGUUCAAUCCCUGCCUUCUCCA